rnacentral:rRNA from 1 species
GAUGAACGCUGGCGGCGUGCCUAAUACAUGCAAGUCGAGCGAACAGACGAGGAGCUUGCUCCUCUGACGUUAGCGGCGGACGGGUGAGUAACACGUGGAUAACCUACCUAUAAGACUGGGAUAACUUCGGGAAACCGGAGCUAAUACCGGAUAAUAUAUUGAACCGCAUGGUUCAAUAGUGAAAGACGGUUUUGCUGUCACUUAUAGAUGGAUCCGCGCCGCAUUAGCUAGUUGGUAAGGUAACGGCUUAGCAAGGCAACGAUGCGUAGCCGACCUGAGAGGGUGAUCGGCCACACUGGAACUGAGACACGGUCCAGACUCCUACGGGAGGCAGCAGUAGGGAAUCUUCCGCAAUGGGCGAAAGCCUGACGGAGCAACGCCGCGUGAGUGAUGAAGGUCUUCGGAUCGUAAAACUCUGUUAUUAGGGAAGAACAAAUGUGUAAGUAACUAUGCACGUCUUGACGGUACCUAAUCAGAAAGCCACGGCUAACUACGUG